rnacentral:rRNA from 1 species
GAUGAACGCUGGCGGCGUGCCUAAUACAUGCAAGUCGAACGAAGAUCUAGCUUGCUAGAUCUUAGUGGCGAACGGGUGAGUAAUACAUAAAUAAUCUGCCCAUAUGACUGGGAUAACUAUUGGAAACGAUAGCUAAUACCGGAUAGGUUGAUCGGAGGCAUCUCUGAUGAAUUAAAGUAGGAUUUCUACACAAAUGGAUGAGUUUAUGGCGCAUUAGUUAGUUGGUGGGGUAACGGCCUACCAAGACGAUGAUGCGUAGCCGACCUGAGAGGGUGACCGGCCACACUGGGACUGAGACACGCCCCAGACUCCCACGGGAGGCAGCAGUAGGGAAUUUUCGGCAAUGGGCGCAAGCCUGACCGAGCAACGCCGCGUGAGUGAUUAAGGCCUUCGGGUUGUAAAGCUCUGUUGUAAGGGAAGAACCUUCAGGAUAGGAAAUGAUCUUGAACUGACGGUACCUUACCAGAAAGCCACGGCUAACUACGUGCCAGCAGCCGCGGUAA